UGUGCCUUAAAUAUAACAUGUUCAUGAUUUAUUAUGUUGUUAUGAAAAAUAUUUUAUUUGAGGCUAAAAAAAAAAUAAUUAUCAAUGAUAAAACGAGUUAAGCAUUUUUUUUUUUAUGAGUUGCUGACUCACCUGACAUUGAAACAAGAAAAAAUAUUAU